rnacentral:tRNA from 1 species
UGCCUCAUAGCUCAAUUGGUAGAGCUGCACGCUGUUAACGUGAUGGUUGUAGGUUCGAGUCCUACUGAGGCAGCCA